GAUGAAGAAACGUAGCGAAAUGCGAUAAGUAAUGUGAAUUGCAGAAUUCAGUGAAUCAUCGAAUCUUUGAACGCACCUUGCGCUCCUUGGUAUUCCGAGGAGCAUGCCUGUUUGAGUGUCAUUAAAUUCUCAACCUUUCCAGCUUUUGCGAGUUUGGAUUGGCUUGGAUGUGGAGGUUUGCAGGCUUCUCAGAAGUCAGCUCCUCUUAAAUGCAUUAGCGGAACCUUUGUGGACCAGCUUUGGUGUGAUAAUUAUCUAUGCCAUGGUUGUGAAGCAGUUUUUAUAUGGGGUUCAGCUUCUAACAGUCCAUUGACUUGGACAAUUUCUGACAUUUUGACCUCAAAUCAGGUAGGACUACCCGCUGAACUUAAGCAUAUCAAUAAGCGGAGGA
rnacentral:misc_RNA from 1 species